rnacentral:rRNA from 1 species
UACGUAGGGGGCAAGCGUUGUCCGGAUUUAUUGGGCGUAAAGAGCGUGUAGGCGGCUUGGUAGGUCUCGCGUCAAAACCUGAGGCUCAACCUCAGUUCGCGUGGGAAACCACCUAGCUAGAGUCCGGAAGAGGAGAACGGAAUUCCCAGUGUAGCGGUGAAAUGCGUAGAUAUUGGGAGGAACACCAGUGGCGAAGGCGGCUACCUGGACCGGUUCUGACGCUGAUGCGCGAAAGCUGGGGGAGCAAACGGG